AAUAGUUUAUAUGUCAAACUCGGACAACAUUAGAAUGGUUCUAAUUGGGGCGGUAAACUAAGUAGUAUUUAUUAAAUUUAUUUCUUAAGUACCAACAUCAUAACUUACAAGAAAACUAUACGCUUAUAAAUAAGGAAAAUGCUAAACAGUAUCCCGAGUGUCCCGGGGCACUGGUUAAACAUUUUAAAAUAGAAAUUCUGCCUCGAAAUACUGCAUUUAAUACCUCAAAAAUAUCAAAAGUUAUCUUUUCAAUAUUUAUUUUAUUUUUUAUUUCUUUUUUUAGUAUACUUAACAAGUACCCGGAGGCCCCGUUUAGCAUACCCUAUAAAUAAUAUAGAGUUGUUCUCGUGAGCUUAGUUCAAGUUUCAUUUUUAUGCUUAUUCUCACAUAGGCACAAAAACAAACGGCAAUGUAUAACAAAAGGAGGAGUGUGACAUAUAUUUUUAUCACAAUCAUCCCUAUUAUAGCAGAACAAUUUAUCUGUUAUGUCAAAUAAAAGUAAAACAAUGUUAUUAGUAAAAAGAAAUAACGAUUAUACAUAUGAUAAAAAAAUAAAUUAAAAUAGGUGUAUAAAACAACUUACUGCUAGAUACAAGAACAAUUAGAGAAAGAAAAAUCAUCAUUGCGUGCACGAAUUUAAAAAUUCCAGCCAUAAUUUCUUCUUUACAUAUAAUAAAUAGAAAAUUGAUUGACCACUUUAUAAAUAAAACUCGUCCACUUUAAAAAAUAUUUCAUAAAUUAAUUAAUAAUUAUUGUAAGUACGUAUCUUUUAGGCAUGUCAAUGUGUUGCGUAUAUAUUUUUAACUUACUCAAUUGACCAAUUAACCUUAGUGAAAUCUCAGAUGAAACAUUUGAUAAUCAUCAAAGGUCAUUUUUAUUUAUUUAUUGAAGUUUCAU
rnacentral:lncRNA from 1 species